GAUGAACGCUGGCGGCGUGCCUAAUACAUGCAAGUCGAGCGAACGGACGAGAAGCUUGCUUUUCUGAUGUUAGCGGCGGACGGGUGAGUAACACGUGGAUAACCUACCUAUAAGACUGGGAUAACUUCGGGAAACCGGAGCUAAUACCGGAUAAUAUUUUGAACCGCAUGGUUCAAAAUUGAAAGACGGUCUUGCUUUCACUUAUAGAUGGAUCCGCGCUGCAUUAGCUAGUUGGUAAGGUAACGGCUUACCAAGGCAACGAUGCAUAGCCGACCUGAGAGGGUGAUCGGCCACACUGGAACUGAGACACGGUCCAGACUCCUACGGGAGGCAGCAGUAGGGAAUCUUCCGCAAUGGGCGAAAGCCUGACGGAGCAACGCCGCGUGAGUGAUGAAGGUCUUCGGAUCGUAAAACUCUGUUAUUAGGGAAGAACAUAUGUGUAAGUAACUGUGCACAUCUUGACGGUACCUAAUCAGAAAGCCACGGCUAACUACGUG
rnacentral:rRNA from 1 species